GUAGUUAGCCGGAGCUUCCUCCUCGGCUACCAUCUUCUUCUUUUCACCAAGGACAGAGGUUUACAAUCCGAAAACCUUCUUCCCUCACGCGGCGUUGCUGGGUCAGGCUUGCGCCCAUUGCCCAAUAUUCCCCACUGCUGCCUCCCGUAGGAGUUUGGACCGUCUCUCAGUUCCAAUGUGGCCGAUCACCCUCUCAGGUCGGCUACCCAUCGCUGACUUGGUGGGCCGUUACCCCGCCUACUACCUAAUGGGACGCGAACCCCUCCUUCUGCGGAUUGCUCCUUUGACCCCUGAGCCAUGCGACUCUGUGGUCUUAUGCGGUAUUAGCACUUGUUUCCAGGUGUUAUCCCCCUCAAAAGGGCAGGUUGUUCACGCGUUACUCACCCGUUCGCCACUAGCUAUAAAUCCGAAAACCUAUAGCCCGUUCGACUUGCAUGUGUUAGGCACGCCGCCACGCGUUCGUCCUCGAGCCACUAAUACAACUACUACGA
rnacentral:rRNA from 1 species